rnacentral:rRNA from 1 species
AUUGAACGCUGGCGGCAGGCCUAACACAUGCAAGUCGAGCGGAUGAAGGGAGCUUGCUCCUGGAUUCAGCGGCGGACGGGUGAGUAAUUCCUAGGAAUCUGCCAGGUAGUGGGGGAUAACGUCCGUAAACGGGCGCUAAUACCGCAUACGUCCUGAGGGAGAACGCGGGGGAUCUUCGGACCUCACGCUAUCAGAUGAUCCUAGGACGGAUUAGCUAGGUGGUGGGGUAAAGGCCUACCAAGGCGACGAUCCGUAACUCGUCUGAGAGGAUGAUCAGUCACACUGCAACUGAGUCACGGUCCAGACUCCUACGGGAGGCAGCAGUGGGGAAUAUUGGACAAUGGGCGAAAGCCUGAUCCAGCCAUGCCGCGUGUGUGAAGAAGGUCUUCGGAUUGUAAAGCACUUUAAGUUGGGAGGAAGGGCAGUAAUUUAAUACCUUGCUGUUUUGACGUUACCAACAGAAUAAGCACCGGCUAACUUCGUG